CCCCUAGACGUUCUGGGCUGCACGCGCGCUACAAUAAUACGCACAGCGAGUAUCACCGAGCUCGAAAGGGCAAGGUAAACAAUAGAAAAGGUACUGUAAUGGUUAUAGAUCCUUGUAAUUAUUGAUCUUCAACGAGGAAUUCCUAGUAAGUAUGUGUCAUCAUCACGCACUGGUUACGUCCCUGCCCUUUGUACACACCGCCCGUCGCUCCUACCGAUUGGGUGAGCCGAUGAAACUCUCGGAUGUAGGCUAUUCAUAGCCCGCAGAAGAGAUUUGAAUCGUAGCGCUUAGAGGAAGGAGAAGUCGUAACA
rnacentral:rRNA from 1 species